rnacentral:lncRNA from 1 species
CUCGGCUGCGAGCCCCGGGCCAAGUCGCUUCACUUCUCCGGGCCUCAGUUCCCUCGUCGGCGCGAUGGGGACGGAGGCGGUCGGCCCCACGUGGGGCGGCCUGGAUCGACCUUCUAUCACCUUCAUUACCUGGUGUCAACCCCAGGGCUUGGAAGGGCGCUCGGCCUUUAGUAAGCGUUUAAAAAGUGCCAUGGUUAUUAUUAUCAGCUCUUCCCUCGGCUCUCCCCUCGGGUCAUCUCUCAGCUGUCCCCUCUGCGGCUCGGCUCUUCCGUCAGGUGUCCCGUAGUUCCCCCCUCAGCUCUCCCCUGGGCUCCCCCGUCAAUUCUCCCUUCAGUUUGCCGCUCGGCUGUCCCCUCGACUCCCCCCUCGGUUUGCGGCUCAGCUCUCCCUUCGUGUCUCCUCUCGGGUGUCCCCUCAGGUCUGUCUCCCCUCAGGUCUGUCUCCCCUCGUCUCCCCCCUCAGUCUGUCCCUCAGGUCUCCCCUCGGUUUGCCGCUCAGCUCUCCCUUCGUGCCCCCCUCGGGUCUCCCCUCAGAUCUCCCGUCAGUUCCCCCCUGGGCUCUCCCGUCAGCUCUCCCUUCGGGUCUCCCCUCAGGUCUCCCGCAGUUCCCCCCCUCGGCUCUCCCCUGGGGUGUCCCCUGAGUUUGCCGCUCGGCUCUCCCUUCGUGCGUCCCCUCGGGUCUCCCCACAGGUGUCCCGUCAGUUCCCCCCUCGGGUGACCCCCGGGCUCCCCCGUCAGCUCUCCCCCUCGGGUCACCCCCUCAGCUUUCCCCUCGGCUGCCCCUUCCGUUUGCCCCUCAGCCGUCCCCUCGGGUCCCUUCCCCGCGGGCCGUCCGCUGAGGCCUGGGGUCGGGGCUGCCGGCAGGCAGGUCUCCCCUCCGCGCCGCCCCGUGCCGGUGUGGGGCCCCGGGAAGAGGCCCACCGCGGGCCGGGCCGGGCCGGACCGGGCCGGGCCGAGCGGCCUCCGCUCCCCCCCGCCCUUCUCCGCCCUCCCCCGAAGCCCUCGACCGGCAGACCGACCGGCAGGCCGGGACUCACCCUGGAAGGCGGCCGCCGCCGGGAAGCCCACCAUGGCCGCCGCUCUCACCCUCAGCCGCCGCCGCCGCCGCCGCCGCGGGGAGGCCGCGCGCUCCACCCGCCGCUACUAGGCCGCGGCCCCGCCCCUCUGCGCGUCACCGUGACGUCACCGCCAGGCGGCCCCGCCCCCUCGGCCCCGCGCUGGCGCCUGCGCCUGCGCCGCGGCGCCCCGCCCGGGCCUGCCGUCCGGCCUCCGGGGGCCCGGCUCGGGGGACUGAGAGCCCUCGCCCGAAGCCAAGGUUGCAGGGAUCAGCCGGUGACUGGAUUGAUUAUUAAUGAGGCUAUGCCCGGCACCUACUGCCUGGAGAACACUGACCCAGACGCCGUGAGGAAUUACCGCCCGCUGGGAGCUUAAAAUUAAAUGGAGGAGGAGGGAGAGCACAAAUCAAGAACAUGCAACUUGGAAAAGGGCAACUAGGCAACGGGUCCCGUUAGUGUCUGCUGUAAUUUGAUGGCAUCUAUGAACUUGUCUUCUCCUCGCACCUGGAGAGUUUCCGGUACUCUACCAGUCUCGACUACAGAACGGAGAGUCAAGCAGAGACCUGUCCAUUUCAUUCUCCGCCUGGGCAGCGGCUAGCCAACGGAACGCAAUCCGCUACAAGGCAAAACUCACCUGUGCUGGGCAGCAGCGGCUCAGGAGAGAGUCGAGGGCAGAGAUUCAGGUUUAUCGGUGGAAGUUGAACCACUUCUGUAUUUUUACCAAGAAAACCCCCUGGAUAUAUUACCAGACAAUUGCUGAUGGAGGUGGGGUGUUCUGGGAGAGAUGCGUCCAUGGCGUCGCCAUGGGUCAGAGUAGACUGUAAGCCCGUCAGUGGGCAGGGAUUGUCUCUAUCUGUUGCCGAAUUGUUCAUUCCAAGCGCUUAGUACAAUGCUCUGCACAUAGUAAGCGCU